AAGAAAAUAUGGGUGCUUUAUUGUUGCGUUACCGGGUGCAACAGCGUCUCCUACGACAAAAAAAGGGGUGAGGAAAAAUGGACUCACUUUUCACCGUUUUCCUGCAUGGAGGACCAAAUAUCAGAUCACGAAGGUACGACGGAUGGCUGGAUUGCAGCGGUUCGUCGGAAAAGCAUUUCUUAUGAUCAUAUUUCUGCUGGAAUGAGAGUGUGUUCCUGUCAUCUCUACUCUUGUAAACCUGCUGACAACACAUCCCGAUUGGUCACCAUCUCUCUUCUUGGAUCAUUUGACAAAGAAAAUUUGUUCAAUGGAGUGGUUCCAUUUGUCCUGUGUCGGACUCAAACAAGCCCCUGCAGCAGACGCCAUCUGGGUCUGCCCUUCUCGUCGAUGAACUGCGGGCUUUUAACUUGUGAAAAUGCAAGAACUUUAAUGCACAUAUUUAUUCUGCCUGGCUAUUUAACUAUGGCCAGUGACGUUUUUUU